CUUCUUCUUGCUUUCCUUUUCUUCCUUCUUGCUUUCCUUUUCUUCUUUCUUUUUCUUCCCCUUUUCUUGUUCUCUUGAAGAAAGCCUUGAGGAGAGGUUGUUUGCAGGAGUGCAGUUUCCAAGAAGGAAAGAAGAGAAGA
rnacentral:ribozyme from 13 species